rnacentral:rRNA from 1 species
AGAUUGAACGCUGGCGGCAUGCCUUACACAUGCAAGUCGAACGGCAGCACGGGGGCAACCCUGGUGGCGAGUGGCGAACGGGUGAGUAAUGCAUCGGAACGUGCCCAGUAGUGGGGGAUAACUAGUCGAAAGAUUAGCUAAUACCGCAUACGACCUAUGGGUGAAAGCGGGGGAUUCGCAAGAACCUCGCGCUAUCGGAGCGGCCGAUGUCUGAUUAGCUAGUUGGCGGGUAAAGCCCACAAGGCUUCGAUCAGUAGCUGGUCUGAGAGGACGACCAGCCACACUGGGACUGAGACACGGCCCAGACU